rnacentral:sRNA from 1 species
UCUACAAUUUAAUUUACCAUGCCUAAGCGAUAACGAGCAUAUGAGACAUAUAUAACUCAUAUUUAUUUCUGGUUCUGUUCUGGUUUCUUCUGUUGUGUUCUUGUUCAUGUUUGCCCACUCAAUAGCUCAAACGUUUUUCCGAGGAAGUUAAUGCGGAUUGCACUGCAUUGUCGGGAAUGAAAUUUUUCUAUUUAACACGAAGUAUGGUGCUCUCCGUGGCUGGCACCAUAUUGACCUAUGAAUUGGUUUUGCUGCAAUUCAACAAGAAGGACCUUGUCAAUGAUUGCCAAUAGAUGCAGCAAAUGAGAGGACACCAAUACAGACCAUAAACAGGAGAACAGCUUUAGUGGAUUUUGGGAAUGUCUUGCUCAAGUGAAAUGUAAUGGAGAAGCAAUAAACACCAAUUCAAUAAACACUGCUAUUAAAUACUUUGCUUGGUUUCAAGUUCA